UUCAGAUUUUUAUCGUUGUCGUCAAUUUGAUGAAUCUUUUUCAUAUCUGAUUUCAUCACGACCGCCGUCGAGUGUUGUCGUGUGGUCAAAGAGAAGAGAGAGAAGAAGUACAAAUCAAUCUAAGCUGCACUAAAUGCAAAUUGAUGGCAGUUAUGUUAUGCACAGGUCUCAAAUCU
ensembl:ncRNA C04C11.9 ncRNA